CUGUGGUCGACACAGACGCGUUGUGGCGAGGAAUUAGUAGCGCGGGAUGUCUCUGUCAGGGUUCUGCCAUGAACCUCCACACCUGAGGAAGAUGCUUGCUCCUGGGACAGUGAAAUCCUUUGACAUGCAAAAUUCAGACGUCGACGAUCUCGCCUUUCAAGACACUGCAUUUGAGAACUCGUCUCUCACCACAACCACUUUGCCUCUCCAAAAAAGUUCACACCCAGACCGUCGAAUUCCUCCAUGAGCAGCUUCAGGCUAAGAGGUGAUGGCAUCCUGUCUGCUUUGAUUAUCAUAUUGUUUUUAUUGUUUACGUCCGGGUUUCGACAUGUCAUGAAUUCCAGAUGUUGUUUUGCAGAUCUCGAGUGUGGUAACAAUUAUAUAACCAUUUUGGCAAGCCACGUCCAAAAGGUAAACAAAAAAAGUACGCGGUGUACCGGCAGGAGAGCGGAGCGGAAAGACUUUGUUCAGGGCUGUGGUUGGGUCUGAAUGUACAAGAAGGAGAGACAGAGUCACACUUUUAUUUCAACCUUAAUUCACAUUUAAUUCCUUAAUCUCAUAAUUUCAACUUUUUCCAACAGCUUGUCUGUUUUCAUUAAUUCUACAUGUUUGAUAGAUUUGUUUUUUAUAUCGUAAAUGAGGAAUUAAUUGCUUUUUUUUUUCAAUUAUUGAGGAACAACACAUCCCAAAUUUAGUCCACAAGGCAAUUACCAACAGAGUUUGGUGGCGAGCAGUGAUUGGCAGUUUGAGCAACAUCAUAUGAACACGAAGCUUUGCCAAACGUAGGAAUUCAUUUAAGCCGUUGUGGACAAAAUUGAAAGUCGGCGCAUGUUAAAAUUUGGUUUGAUUUAGAUUCAAACAGGAAAACAAUCGCGCAAACACCAUCCAGACUUUGAACAUGCUGGACAAGAGGGAUCCCGACCAAGUGGAUUUUUCACCACUGACUCAUGAAGUGAUGCACAGCAGGCGUGUAGAAAACACUGCUGUAAGUUGGGCGUAUGAAGUCCUUUUGAAGUCAAGUAAAAGAAGACACAGCUUCAAGAUCAGAGUCUGAUCUGGUCGCUCAAAAUGACCCCAAAUUGCACUGGAACAGUCACAUUUUUAGGUGUAAUAUAUAUAUAUAUAUAUAUAUAUAAAAAACUGUACACUGUAUCAGACCACUGUAGGUUCGUCUUUGUUUGGUUGCUCCUGCUCUGAGCACAAAGGAGGAACUGCCAAACAAAAGAACUGAACCUUGACUUUACUUGGUAAAAGCUGGAGCUAAUGUUUAUGUUCCUUUGCCAGCAAGCAACUGGCACCAGGAAGGUGUGCCGGGGCUGCUGACAUCAGUAUAUGCUUAUCAUGCC